rnacentral:tRNA from 1 species
GGCUUGAUAGCUCAGUUGGUAGAGCACUUGAUUGAAGCUCAAGGUGUCGGCAGUUCGAUUCUGUCUCAAGCCA